AGUGAACGCUGGCGGCAUGCCUAAUACAUGCAAGUCGAACGGCAGCACAGUAAGCUUUUGCCUCUACGGUUGGCGACUGGCGGGUGGGUGACGCAUACAUCGCCUUCCUCUUUUUCGUGGGUGACAUCGUAGGGCAACUUAUGCUACCACCUCAUACUUUCUACCGCAUAAUUCAGGAGUUCAUGGGACUUUUCCCGACUGUAUGAGCCGAUGUCGCUUUAGCUAGUUGGCUGGGUAAAGGCCCACCAAGGCAACGAUACGUAGCUGGUCUGAGAGGAUGAUCGGCCACACUGGAACUGAGACACGGUCCAGACUCCUACGGGAGGCAGCAGUGGGGAAUAUUGGGAAAUGGGCGCAAGCCUGACGCAGCAAUGCCGCGUGGGUGAAGAAGGUCUUCGGGUUGUAAAGCCCUUUUGUUGGGAAAGAAAAGCAGCAGAAUAAAACGCGGAUAUUGUGACGGUACCUAAACAGAAAGCAACGGCUAACUACGUG
rnacentral:rRNA from 1 species